rnacentral:rRNA from 1 species
AGCCGCGAGGUAGAGCAAAUCUCAAAAAAGACAUCUCAGUUCAGAUUGCAGGCUGCAACUCGCCUGCAUGAAGUCGGAAUUGCUAGUAAUCGUAGGUCAGCAUACUACGGUGAAUACGUUCCCGGGCCUUGUACACACCGCCCGUCAAACCAUGAGAGUUGGCAACACCCGAAGUCGGUAGUCUAACCGCAAGGAGGACGCCGCCGAAGGUGGGGUUGAUGAUUAGGGUUAAGUCGUAACAAGGUAGC